AGAGAGGAAUGAAGGAGAGAGAAGCAAAAACUAACUCUAGGCUUUCAAGAGCCUCUAACCGAGGCAGGGAAGUUAGACGGGGGCUUGGGACAGAUGGCAAGGUCUAUCUAAGGGAUAUGAGGUAACUUCAAGACAUCGCAGGGACAAAGUCCCGGAGUCCACCAGAGACUCAAGAAUAGAAUUCCAGGGACAGACUGAAACGGAAAGGGAAGAUAGUUAAGGGAAUCAUCCAUGUAAAGGGGAUUGUUCAAGUCUCCAAGAAUAAAGGCAAUAAAAUGAAAGAAAAGCAAGGACUGGGCCUAAGGGGAUGGUCACAGAAUCAAGAUUGAAAACAAAGAAGCUGAUAAUGAUGAUAAUUAUACAUGAAUAAGGAG
rnacentral:lncRNA from 1 species